AGCAGCCGCGGUAAUUCCAGCUCCAAUAGCGUAUAUUAAAGUUGUUGCAGUUAAAAAGCUCGUAGUUGAACUUCGGGAUCAAUGGAUUGGUCAUGCCGAUGGUGUGUACUGGUCAUAUUGGUUCUCACCUUCUAAGGAACCAUAAUGUCAUUUAUUUGAUGUUGUGGGGAAUUAGGACUGUUACCUUGAAAAAAUUAGAGUGUUUAAAGCAGGCUAACGCUUGAAUACAUUAGCAUGGAAUAAUGAAAUAGGACAUCGCAUUCUAUUUUGUUGGUUUCUAGGAUCGAUGUAAUGAUUAAUAGGGAUAGUUGGGGGCAUUAGUAUUCAAUUGUCAGAGGUGAAAUUCUUGGAUUUAUUGAAGACUAACUACUGCGAAAGCAUUUGCCAAGGAUGUUUUCAUUAAUCAAGAACGAAAGUUAGGGGAUCGAAGACGAUCAGAUACCGUCGUAGUCUUAACCAUAAACUAUGCCGACUAGGGAUCGGAUGAUGUUGAUUUUUUAAUGUA
rnacentral:sRNA from 1 species